rnacentral:rRNA from 1 species
UACGUAGGGGGCCAGCGUUGUUCGGAAUUACUGGGUGUAAAGGGUUCGUAGGCGGUGCGGCAAGUUGGGAGUGAAAUCUCUGGGCUCAACCCAGAGACGGCUUCCAAAACUGCUGUGCUUGAGUGUGGGAGAGGCUCGUGGAAUUGCAGGUGUAGCGGUGAAAUGCGCAGAUAUCGGGAGGAACACCAAUGGCGAAGGCAGCUCGCUGGGACGGUACUGACGCUGAGACGCGAAAGCGUGGGGAGCAAACAGG